rnacentral:rRNA from 1 species
AACGAACGCUGGCGGCAUGCCUAACACAUGCGAGUCGAACGAGACCUUCGGGUCUAGUGGCGCACGGGUGCGUAACGCGUGGGAACCUGCCCUUAGGUUCGGAAUAACUCCCCGAAAGGGGUGCUAAUACCGGAUAAUGUCUUCGGACCAAAGAUUUAUCGCCUUUGGAUGGGCCCGCGUUGGAUUAGCUAGUUGGUAGGGUAAAAGCCUACCAAGGCGACGAUCCAUAGCUGGUCUGAGAGGAUGAUCAGCCACACUGGGACUGAGACACGGCCCAGACUCCUACGGGAGGCAGCAGUGGGGAAUAUUGGACAAUGGGCGAAAGCCUGAUCCAGCAAUGCCGCGUGAGUGAUGAAGGCCUUAGGGUUGUAAAGCUCUUUUACCCGGGAUGAUAAUGACAGUACCGUGAGAAUAAGCUCCGGCUAACUCCGUG